rnacentral:misc_RNA from 1 species
GGCGGAGGGAGGAGUCAAAGAGGGUGACCUUGCCGCCGUGGGCGGCGAGGACGGCGCCGGAGGUAGCGGCGGUGAGAGCGGAGACGGUAUCGCGGCCGUGGAGGGGGAGGGCGGUGGAGCGGGUGAGGGCGAAGGGGCGGAAAGGUGACGGGGAGGAGAUUACGGCGAGGAGGUCGUCGGCGAGGCCGUAGAAGCGGGCCUCGGCGAGGAGGUCGGCGAGAUCGGCGGCGGGGGAGGAGGGGAGGCGGGCGGUGCGGAGGAGGGAGAGGAGGAGGGAGAAGAGAGAGGGGUCACGGUCGAUGAACGGGAUGAAGGGAGCCGAGGAGGGGAGGGAGGAGAGGAGGGAUUUGGGGCCGGCGCGGGAGAGGGUUUG